UUUUGUAGCAAUACGGAACCAAGAGUGACGUACGGGUGCGUAACACGUAUGCAACCUACCCUUUACAGGAGGAUAGCUCGGGGAAACUCGGAUUAACCCUCCAUAAUAUGAUUGAAUGGCAUCAUUUAAUUAUUAAAACUCAGGUGGUAAAGGAUGGGCAUGCGUCUGAUUAGUUAGUUGGUGAGGUAACGGCUCACCAAGACGAUGAUCAGUAGGGGAACUGAGAGGUUGAUCCCCCACACUGGCACUGAGAUACGGGCCAGACUCCUACGGGAGGCAGCAGUAGGGAAUAUUGGACAAUGGGUGCAAGCCUGAUCCAGCCAUGCCGCGUGCAGGAAGAAGGCCUUCUGGGUUGUAAACUGCUUUUGUCAGGGGAUAAAAAGCCCAUGCGUGGGAAAUUGCAGGUACCUGAUGAAUAAGCCACGGCUAACUACGUGCCAGCAGCCGCGGUAAUACGUAGGUGGCAAGCGUUGUCCGGAUUUAUUGGGUUUAAAGGGUGCGUAGGCGGCCCUGUAAGUCAGUGCUGAAAUAUCCCGGCUUAACCGGGAGGGUGGCAUUGAUACUGCAGGGCUUGAGUACAGACGAGGUAGGCGGAAUUGACGGUGUAGCGGUGAAAUGCAUAGAUAUCGUCAAGAACUCCGAUAGUGAAGACAGCUUACUAGGCUGUAACUGACGCUGAGGCACGAAAGUGUGGGGAUCAAACAGGAUUAGAUACCCUGGUAGUCCACACUGUAAACGUUGAUGACUCGAUGUUGGCGAUACACAGCC
rnacentral:rRNA from 1 species